AGCGAACGCUGGCGGCAGGCUUAACACAUGCAAGUCGAACGGGCAUAGCAAUAUGUCAGUGGCAGACGGGUGAGUAACGCGUGGGAACGUACCUUUUGGUUCGGAACAACACGGGGAAACUUGUGCUAAUACCGGAUAAGCCCUUACGGGGAAAGAUUUAUCGCCGAAAGAUCGGCCCGCGUCUGAUUAGCUAGUUGGUAGGGUAAUGGCCUACCAAGGCGACGAUCAGUAGCUGGUCUGAGAGGAUGAUCAGCCACAUUGGGACUGAGACACGGCCCAAACUCCUACGGGAGGCAGCAGUGGGGAAUAUUGGACAAUGGGCGAAAGCCUGAUCCAGCCAUGCCGCGUGAGUGAUGAAGGCCCUAGGGUUGUAAAGCUCUUUUGUGCGGGAAGAUAAUGACGGUACCGCAAGAAUAAGCCCCGGCUAACUUCGUG
rnacentral:rRNA from 1 species